rnacentral:rRNA from 1 species
GUUCGGAUUGCAGGCUGCAACCCGCCUGCAUGAAGUUGGAAUCGCUAGUAAUCGCGGAUCAGCAUGCCGCGGUGAAUACGUUCCCGGGCCUUGUACACACCGCCCGUCACACCAUGAGAGUCGGGAACACCCGAAGUCCGUAGCCUAACCGCAAGGGGGGCGCGGCCGAAGGUGGGUUCGAUAAUUGGGGUGAAGUCGUAACAAGGUACC